GAUGAACGCUGACAGAAUGCUUAACACAUGCAAGUCUACUUGAAUUUGGGUUUUUUAACUUAGAUUUGGGUGGCGGACGGGUGAGUAACGCGUAAAGAACUUGCCUCACAGCUAGGGACAACAUUUGGAAACGAAUGCUAAUACCUGAUAUUAUGAUUAUAAGGCAUCUUAGAAUUAUGAAGGCUAUAUGCGCUGUGAGAGAGCUUUGCGUCCCAUUAGCUAGUUGGAGAGGUAACGGCUCACCAAGGCGAUGAUGGGUAGCCGGCCUGAGAGGGUGAACGGCCACAAGGGGACUGAGACACGGCCCUUACGCCUACGGGAGGCAGCAGUGGGGAAUAUUGGACAAUGGACCAAGAGUCUGAUCCAGCAAUUCUGUGUGCACGAUGAAGUUUUUCGGAAUGUAAAGUGCUUUCAGUUGGGAAGAAAAAAAUGACGGUACCAACAGAAGAAGUGACGGCUAAAUACGUG
rnacentral:rRNA from 1 species